GGUUAAGCGACUAAGCGUACACGGUGGAUGCCCUGGCAGUCAGAGGCGAUGAAGGACGUGCUAAUCUGCGAUAAGCGUCGGUAAGGUGAUAUGAACCGUUAUAACCGGCGAUUUCCGAAUGGGGAAACCCAGUGUGAUUCGUCACACUAUCAUUAACUGAAUCCAUAGGUUAAUGAGGCGAACCGGGGGAACUGAAACAUCUAAGUACCCCGAGGAAAAGAAAUCAACCGAGAUUCCCCCAGUAGCGGCGAGCGAACGGGGAGGAGCCCAGAGCCUGAAUCAGUGUGUGUGUUAGUGGAAGCGUCUGGAAAGGCGCGCGAUACAGGGUGACAGCCCCGUACACAAAAAUGCACAUGCUGUGAGCUCGAUGAGUAGGGCGGGACACGUGGUAUCCUGUCUGAAUAUGGGGGGACCAUCCUCCAAGGCUAAAUACUCCUGACUGACCGAUAGUGAACCAGUACCGUGAGGGAAAGGCGAAAAGAACCCCGGCGAGGGGAGUGAAAAAGAACCUGAAACCGUGUACGUACAAGCAGUGGGAGCCUCUUUAUGGGGUGACUGCGUACCUUUUGUAUAAUGGGUCAGCGACUUAUAUUCUGUAGCAAGGUUAACCGAAUAGGGGAGCCGAAGGGAAACCGAGUCUUAACUGGGCGUUAAGUUGCAGGGUAUAGACCCGAAACCCGGUGAUCUAGCCAUGGGCAGGUUGAAGGUUGGGUAACACUAACUGGAGGACCGAACCGACUAAUGUUGAAAAAUUAGCGGAUGACUUGUGGCUGGGGGUGAAAGGCCAAUCAAACCGGGAGAUAGCUGGUUCUCCCCGAAAGCUAUUUAGGUAGCGCCUCGUGAAUUCAUCUCCGGGGGUAGAGCACUGUUUCGGCAAGGGGGUCAUCCCGACUUACCAACCCGAUGCAAACUGCGAAUACCGGAGAAUGUUAUCACGGGAGACACACGGCGGGUGCUAACGUCCGUCGUGAAGAGGGAAACAACCCAGACCGCCAGCUAAGGUCCCAAAGUCAUGGUUAAGUGGGAAACGAUGUGGGAAGGCCCAGACAGCCAGGAUGUUGGCUUAGAAGCAGCCAUCAUUUAAAGAAAGCGUAAUAGCUCACUGGUCGAGUCGGCCUGCGCGGAAGAUGUAACGGGGCUAAACCAUGCACCGAAGCUGCGGCAGCGACGCUUAUGCGUUGUUGGGUAGGGGAGCGUUCUGUAAGCCUGUGAAGGUGUACUGUGAGGUAUGCUGGAGGUAUCAGAAGUGCGAAUGCUGACAUAAGUAACGAUAAAGCGGGUGAAAAGCCCGCUCGCCGGAAGACCAAGGGUUCCUGUCCAACGUUAAUCGGGGCAGGGUGAGUCGACCCCUAAGGCGAGGCCGAAAGGCGUAGUCGAUGGGAAACAGGUUAAUAUUCCUGUACUUGGUGUUACUGCGAAGGGGGGACGGAGAAGGCUAUGUUGGCCGGGCGACGGUUGUCCCGGUUUAAGCGUGUAGGCUGGUUUUCCAGGCAAAUCCGGAAAAUCAAGGCUGAGGCGUGAUGACGAGGCACUACGGUGCUGAAGCAACAAAUGCCCUGCUUCCAGGAAAAGCCUCUAAGCAUCAGGUAACAU
rnacentral:rRNA from 1 species